rnacentral:rRNA from 1 species
CAUGGUUGUCGUCAGCUCGUGUCGUGAGAUGUUGGGUUAAGUCCCGCAACGAGCGCAACCCCUACGUUUAGUUGCCCAGCGGUUAAAGCCGGGCAACUCUAGGACGAACUGCCGUUGACAAACGGAGGAAGGUGGGGAUGACGUCAAAUCAUCAUGCCCUUUAUAUCCUGGGCUACACACGUGCUACAAUGGCCGGUACAGACGGAAGCAAAGCCGCGAGGUGGAGCGAAUCCUAAAAAGCCGGUCUCAAGUUCGGAUUGCAGGCUGCAAUUCGCCUGCAUGAAGUCGGAAUCGCUAGUAAUCGCAGGUCAGCAUACUGCGGUGAAUACGUUCCCGGGCCUU